GACGAACGCUGGCGGCGUGCUUAACACAUGCAAGUCGAACGCAGUGGCGAACGGGUGAGUAACGCGUAAUCAACCUGCCCUUCUGCGGGUGACAACAGUUUGAAACGACUGCUAAGACCGCAUCCUGAGGGUGGGGACUCCGUCUGAUUGGUUAGUUGGAGGGUUAAGGGCCCACAAGGGCAAUGAUCAGUAGCCGGUCUGAGAGGGUGACCGGCCACAUUGGGACUGAGACACGGCCCAGACUCCUACGGGAGGCAUCAGGGGGGAAUCUUCCGCAAUGGACGAAAGUCUGACGGAGCAACGCCGCGUGUGUGAAGAAGGCUUUCGGGUUGUAAAGCACUUUCAUCGAGGAGCGUUACUGGAAUAGAAAGCCACGGCUAACUCCGUGCCAGCAGCCGCGGUAAUUC
rnacentral:rRNA from 1 species